CAGGGGGCGAGGACCUCAGGGCUGGGAAUGCAGGAAGCGCACUAGCUCGCUGCAAGUGUGGAUUCCAUUUCAGCCCCACAAGGAGGAGGGAAGUGGAGUCUCAGAGACUGAGGCAAGACGGCCGCAAGUCCAUUGUGUUUUCCAAACACAGCGUCUCAGUGGCGAUAACGGAGUCUCGGGGCUACAGCAGCGGGCACGUGUUUGGUCCGCAGGAAAUUGUUACCUCACCCCCGCAGCAUCCAGACAAGGGAUCCGGAGCCAUCUGCGAUGGACAGCCUGCCAGCCAGGAAUUAGAUUCUUUUAUAUACAUGAGCACGGCAUUAUCUCCUGGUUGUAAGAAUUGGGGGUCUUCCUAACAAUAUCAAAAUGGAGCCCUUCUCUCCUUAAUCAAAGCAAAAUAAGAAAGGGAGAAGUAGCUUUUCCCUAGAGUUCCGUGGCAAUAGGAUGUUGCUUCUCCAAAGUCAAAUCUGAAAGGAGUAAAAUCUGAAGGAAUCAUGGCUGCGGAGCUGAGGACUCUGCCUCCUGGUGGCAGCGCAACAUCCCCUCGUCUGGUCUUGCCUCUGCCCCUGUGACCACCACUUUGCCCUCUGCUCUGAACUGUCCCCAGAGCAAAUCCUUGAUUCUAAAUCAUUUCUUCGCCUCUGCUUGAAACAGUCAUACGCUUGUUCGAGGGACAGUCCCUUUGAAAAUCAGGGCGAUAAACAGAAGAGUAUGUUAAUGAGGAGGAGAGAGGGAUGAAAAGUGUGCCCACUCUGAGUUAGAAGUUUCUGAUUGUGAAACUUGAAACCUUGGCGACCCUUAGCCCUAGAAUCUCCGCAACUUCGGAACUAAUAGAAUCACUCUGAAUAUUCUUCUCUCUCCCACGGGUGUUUGCUCUGGGUGUGCUCACUUUCCUAGUUAAGGUACUAUGACCGGAGAUGCAGGGACUCUGCGUGGAUAGCCCAGUUCCAGGGAAUCAGAGAAAACCCACUUUUGAACCCUGCAGUUUCUAGUGGUAUCUCGUCCUGAUGCAUGAGCGUUUACACGGGACUAUUUAUUAGCGCUUCCGUCUGCUGGAGAAAUGCCAGUGUUUGCUGGUGCCCAGAGAAAAGCCCCUCUGUAAGGUUAUAGCUGCUUGCUUUGUGGCAUUUUUGCCACAUCUUUGAAAAGCUCCCUCUAACCCUCUUGUCUUGUUUAGGUAAAGGCAGUAACUGAAUUUGUUUCAAGAAACCUAGAAACCAACAGGGUGGUUACCAACAUGUCCCAUGUACCUGGCUCUUUCUUUGUAGUGCUUCUGACUGAACCCACGGUUUCUACAAGGGACUAGUCUUUCUUCCUAGAAUUGGAACCAUCAGCGUGUGUGUUUUCUGCCUAGAUCUUUAUCCUAAGCAGAGGGGAGAGAGGUGCCGAGACCACGUCACCUCUUCAAUAACUAAAGAAAAAGAAAAUCCUUGACUGGCUUGAAUGUGUGUGCUCCCAGUCUGUGUGUGUCUGUGUGUCGAGUGUCUCCGUGUGUGUCCCUUAGCGUCUGUACCGGACAUGGAAUGGUACUUGCUGCGGCGUUUAGGCAGCGUCGCGGCUCUGGAAUCCUGGUCAGUAUCAGCACUCACAGCGUGACUCACUGACGCGUCUCCAGAGCUCCUGGCCGCGCUGAUGGAGAGACAGCUGAGCGGGACGCUUUGCAAGCUGCUGUAUGUGCUGUAUUCCCACAGUUGGUCCCGGGAAACAGCUGCAGAGGUCAUGUUGUGGGCCAGGAUCCCAGACUGCCGUCGCUAGCUCAAGAGCUGAGAGCCGCCCCCCACCCGCCCCCAGGCCUCUGGACUGUCUGGCACAGCACCCCUUGCAGGCCAGGAGCUCGUCCUGUGGGAGGCAGGGCCUCUCCUGAGACUGGACUCUCCAAGGCUUGCCCCUAGCCAACCGUGACUCCUCUGUGAGCACUGCUUCCUUGGGGUGUCUCGUCAGGGGACACUGAAGACCUUCCCCUUCCCGGCUCCCCGUUCACGGUACAGGGGGCCCAGCUUUCUCCUGAAGGUCCUGCCCCCAGCCUUCACCCAUCCCCUUACCCAUCCCAGCACCAGAGCCUUGAGGUCAGCCUCCAUCUAAAGGUCCUUUUUACAGAAAUACACCUCAUAUCCGCUUUUAGUCUAGAAAACCUUGAGAGUCACCAGAAUACCUUGGUGACAGUCGUGUGGCAGAAUUGCCUGUUUUAGAAGCGGCUGUCUCAGGGUGUGUACCCCCACCUCAUGUGUUGGCAUUUCCAGGGAAGGGCCAGGAAUUCUCUUUAGCAAUCAAGACUGAGUUACUAGCGUGCAGGGUCCUUAUUUUACUGCCAGCCAUAGACAUCAUUUGAAGUAUGCUUUUUUAAAAAACCAUCAUCUGCUGACUCUUAGUAACGCCUGAUUAGACCAAGCAACAUAUCUGUGCGUCUGAUUAACCUCAGUAAAACCAGCGUGUGGAGAGGCAUCUGGGGACUGCAGCCCUGCGGACCUUUCCUGUUGAUCUCAGCUAGAGAGGAUGGGCGACCGUGAAGGGCCUUUGUGUUUCUCCAGCUGCAGCCCUCGUUCCGAACACGAGGCAUGUUUCCUAGUUAGCAGGGAGGUGAAGGAGCUGAUUCUGGGAGAGAAAAUCUACCCGGCUCCCCAAGGCCAACCAAGGAUCGGCCUCCAGAGGGUAUGUUUCACCCUGUGGCCAAAGCAGGACCCCCGAGCCUGGAGAGGGGGCACCUGCCCAGCAGGGGAGGCACCUCCUGCUGGCCCUGGCCUGCCCUCUCUGGCCACAGAGACUAGGAGAUGCUCUCACAUCAGGCGGGGCUGGCUUUGGCCGCGCACUGCACCUCUUCUCUGCCUUCACCCCGACCGUAGACAGCUGGGGAAAAGUUGACCUUCGAGAGGCUGCUCCAUGGUCUUACUUAGAACCCUUCCUUGGGUUUAGUUACUAGGUCACUGGAAUUGGAUUCUUUUGGUGUUUUUCCUUGUAGUCACCCGUCAAGCUUUUUUAAGCCUGAGUUCACAGGGCGUUUCCCAGUCUUGAGGGACCAGAGCUCCACAGUGGAGCUUCUUGGGGACCCAGCUGGGGCUCGGCGGUCGGGGAAGCCCGCUUCCUCGGCUGCACUAGCAGUCAGCCCCUGCUCUGCUCGCUUUUCAACUGAGAGAGUCUUUGCCGUUGAUGCAUUAGCGCUGUUAAGCGGGAACCAGAGUGUCAGUGAGGACUGGCUCAGCGUCGAACCUGGCUAAUGACGAGGGUGGCCGGGCCUUAACCAGCACCCGCUUCUCUUCACGGAGCAUCUGAGUUCCUCUGACAGAAGAGCAGUCGGCUUGUAAGGAGCCGGGCCUCCGCACAGUCCCAGUUCCAAGGCUCUCUGGCUGGCUGUCUCCCAGGCCAGCAGUCCGCCCCGGGCAGUCACCCCCGGAGGACCUCCGAGAUGAGCGGCUCACACUGUGGAAUAACCCCACGGCCGUGAGGGGGCUCUGCCCCGCCUCUGCUCUCUCACCCGUGUCUCACUCUCUAAGGACCGAGGUCCAGAGCCAUUGCCGUUUUCCUCCUAUGCCCAGAGCACCCGCAGCCCAAGUGGGCCACCUCUGCCUGGGGCCGCGAGCGGCCAGUGCCUAGGGAGGGCGUCCUCAGAGAGAGAGAGAGAGUCAGGAAAGGCGUGGCUCUCCAGGGCGGGCUGUGGGCCUGACUGCCAUGGCCUGGUCAUAUACACCACAGGUCAGCAAGUUGUAUAUACGGAAGGUUUCCUAGGUCCCUCUGGCUCAUCCUCUGUGAUUUACGUGCGCAUCUGUAAUGUCGCAGGCUUCUGGAGAAUGUUUAUAUUAAUAGUAUGUCAGACAUUAAAGAGUAUGCUUCCUGCCACCUGCCAGUGUUGUAAUUGCGGAUAUUUAUAGUUGUUUGUGCCUAUAUGUAUCAAUGUGUAGACUGUACAUCAGUAUACAGUGUAUGUACAUCAAAUUUAUUUUUGUCCUUAAACAGUGUGAUAUGACAAGCAAGUAAAAACCUCAUAGGAUUGAAUAUAUAAUGCAGUUUUUUGAGAGUCUAUAUUAGUGGUACUGUUUUAUUAAACUUAAAUUCAAAUGAUAUUUUGAUUAAUUUUUUUUAAUAAUAAGAUUUUAUGCUAGAAAAUUUCAUCUUUGAGCUUUGACUCACCAGAGCAAAAAGGACUCUGAACUAACUUUGUUAAACUAUUUCAGUGUACUGUGUACAAUACUGGGGUGGGGGUAGCUCAUUAUAAUUUGAAAUAUACAGAAAGAAAGAAAAAAAAAAAAAACACACAGGCAACCUGUGCAGUCUUAGCAACUUCAGUAUUAAGAGCACUUAAAGUCAAACCGACAAUUUGGGGCUUAUUACAAAAUGUGAUGCUUUAGAGCACACUUUCUUUAUUGUUGUAAUUAGUCCAGAAAAAUAGAGCUUUCAGAAGAAUCAGCUAAGUGCCCGGCAUAUCACUUACAUACCUGUGACUAUUUUACAGCAGCUCACACCACCCACCCUCCCAGCCCUGCAUCCUCACCCUCUUCACCUUGAAGAACAUCACCAACCCCUGCAGUAGGUCAGGCUCCCCGAGACCCAGGACUGCCCUCCGGGUCUACGGCUGCACCAGCUAAGCGUCAAGUCACAGGUAAAAGAAUGUCAGGACAGACUGUGGACCAGGUGAAAACUUUAAUAUUUUUAUACUUAGGUCUCUUUUCCUGCCUCUCCCCAAAGAAGAGCCGCCGGCCUUAGUUGUCUGAGCUUACUGCUUAUCUUAACAGUAUAUAAAUAGAUCACUAGAGAGUAAAACUUUAUUAACCAGCAUGUUGGUGUAAUUUAAAGCAAAACUGAGUGUGUGUGAGUGAGUGGUUGAGUGCAGUGCGUCUGUCUACGCUUGCCUGUCGUCCCGCGGGUCCGAUUCAGAGCGUGGGAGCCGUGGGCUAAAGGGCUCAGCCUCGGCCCCUGACCGCAGUAGUGGUGGUUGCACUUGAGUCGUUUUCUUAAUUAACUGUAGUCUCAAACUAUUUUUGCAGUUGUAUCCCAUUUCCUCAUCAGUCCUUGACGUGCAGGGCACUGGCCCUGCGUCCCUGCGGGGUCUCUGUUCCACUAGCGUGUUUCCUCCUGAGAACCACAGUGAUUUGCACAAGCAUCCCUUUGAUUCAGAAGCCACAUACAGAAAGGAGUAGCAACCUUUAAAAUUUUAAUGUGGGGUCUUAGUCAUUUGGACUGUUGGGACUUUUAAUGUAAAGUCAAGUAACCCUUUGACCUGGAUAAUAAUAUCUCCUUCCAGGAGAGUAUGUAUGCACAUCGACUCCAACGUCCUUUGGAUACUUUUCUAAGUUGUAGGAACAAGAGUUAAAGGGGAAGGUGUAAGCUGCUGGCCUCUGCCGGGGGGAGGCCUGCUGUGGCCUGUCCUCUGCCCCGAGGGCUCUAGUACACAGGGGCCUCCGGCAUGUGUACACACGCUUGCACACGUGUACGCAGUGAGUGCCCCGAGUCAUGUAAACUCAAGACGCAGAGCGCUGGAGCGUAGCUUCGGGCAUGGACCGAGGUGGCCGUGGCCUGCAGGCCCCUCAGGGCAGGCAGGACCUGGAGAGAGGCUGCGCGGGGAGGGGCUGGCUGGCAGGUGGGGGCCCUCCGCUCCCCAGCAUCCUGGGUGGCGGGGCGGCUGCUCGGUCGCAGGUUACAUUGUGAGGGGGUCACAGGGAGGAACACAGCCCUCCAAGGCCCGAGCUGUGCGGAGCCGCUGGACAGGGGAGGAGCCUGGCUGUGACGGGUUUCCCUUUGCAGGCUGGAGGCUCAGCUUUCACCAACAGUGUUAUGAAAGAAAAAGCACCUUAGUGUCAAUUCCUGGAAAAUGUUGGUUACCAGGGAGAAUUCUGGAGGCUGUUUCCAGAGCCGAAUUGACACAAGCGGAGAGCUGGUACCGCAGCCCCGCUUCCCGUAGGGCAGGCGGAAGGGCGGUGGUGUGCAGCCUUUCCCACAUAAAACGAGCCUUGAACUUGGCCGGCCUAUGAACCGGGUUAUGUUUACUGGGGCUCAGAUCCUCCCUUCACCGUCAGGGUUUCCUUCCCGGUCCCUUCAGCUCCGUCGAAGUCUUGGUGCCAUAGGUCCCUGCACAUUGUGAAAAGUAGUGAUCAAAUGGCAGCCUACUCCUUUUCGGUGGCCAGACCGUCACACUGGCAGGCGCGGGUGAGCUCGUGAUCCCGACCCCCGUAGGAAACCUGUUCCUGGUCGCCCACUGGACACAAGAGACGCUGGCUCCCCGAGGAGCCUGGCGCUUGUGGUGGUCACCUUUUGAGGGGAACAGUGAUUUCUGUGGAUAUUGUUAAAGUGUUGGAAGAAUAUUUUGAAAAUUAAGUUUACAUUUUACAAUCACUUUAUUUUUUAUUAAAAUAGUUGUAUAUAAUAUUGCCCUAUUUCACUGUUGUUGCGGUAAAGCUAAACCAUGCAGACCCGUGAGUCACCUGACGUGUAUAGAAGCCGUGAUGUGUAGAGUACAUUUCUCUCCUGUGUAAAUGUUCAUGAACAUAACUGUUCCUGUGUUUUUCUAAGUUGGAGAUAAUUUGUUGUUUCACAACAACAGAAUUUAUUGCAUUUAAAUGGUUUUUAUGUAAUAGAAAUCAUGCAAAAUAGUGAAGGAUUUAAAAUAUGUAUAUGCUAUAUGUAAAUGUACAAACUUUAGAGAGAAAUAAAUCCAACCGAUUUCAGUCAUUUUGGAGGAAUGUUAUUUGCUUAUUUAGUAAGCGGCUAGAAUAAUAACUCUUAACAGCUAACACAGCACAACACACCCCGUCACAUGAAAAGCCAGCCACAACCCCACAGCAAGAGCUUUGGCCUGGGUAGGUGGCUGGAUGGGUGAGACACUCAGACUGUUCACCCUGCCAC
ensembl:lncRNA